GUGGCAGACGGGUGAGUAACGCGUGGGAACGUACCUUUUGGUUCGGAACAGCUGAGGGAAACUUCAGCUAAUACCGGAUAAGCCCUUACGGGGAAAGAUUUAUCGCCGAAAGAUCGGCCCGCGUCUGAUUAGCUAGUUGGUGAGGUAAUGGCUCACCAAGGCGACGAUCAGUAGCUGGUCUGAGAGGAUGAUCAGCCACAUUGGGACUGAGACACGGCCCAAACUCCUACGG
rnacentral:rRNA from 1 species